UUAAAAUAUUUGCCCUUUAAAAUCGGUGGUGCAAGAACAUAAUAAUGUGGAGUUCCUGGCAAAUUGGAUUGGAGUCCCUUAAGGAAGGUACAAUGUGCUCUGGAUGAUGUAGCACAUGACCUGAGUCCUUCCAUGUGACACAAGAGAAGAUGUGGAUAUCGGUGGUUCGGUGUUACUUAUCAGUGAUUAGCAAGGCUCAUGCGUCAGCUUCGAAUAACUUCGCAACCAUUAUCACAAGUUCUUCAGUUAAGUUGUUAUACGGUCAACGAAAAGACAGCGAUUCGCGCGUUGUUUCUCGUUUAUUCACAUUAAUUAUGGAAGACACCCAGAUUUCAUUUUUGGAAACUACUAACUAAUACCUGGGCACUAUGUACAUUAUCCAUCAGAAAAGGUGGAGGUGUUCAAAUUCAAAGUUGGCGGGCUGCUGUAUGACGCGAAAGAAAAAAGUUACACAAAACACAAGCUUCGUGCCUUUAAGGCUUCAAGUUCGGUCAUGUUAAACUUUUUUGGCCGCCAAGCGAAGUGUCGUCUCAUCAGUUUUAAGUAGCAACUGAAAGAGCAAGUUGUCUCGUUUUUUGUCAUGGUGUUCUUUUCAUUUUGGAGGAUCUUGUAGUUAAUUAAGGAACACUGAAAAAACCUGGAUGGCAUCAAUUCCGCAUUCGCUCGAGGAAGUAGGUGUACGUACGGUCCUAAUGAAUUCAUGAACGUGCAUUUUUUCAUUGGAACGGAAAUAGUGUGCGUUGCUAAAGGAAAGAUUUAUAACAGUGAACUGAUUGACAAACAAAUGAGAAGUGGUUGCUAAUUUUGACCCUAGAAGUGACAAUAAGUAAAAUCUGCAUUGGUUUUGUCUUUUGCAUGUGUGAAGUUCAGAACGUUAGAGUCUGCAGUUCAUCAAGAUUGACGAUAAAUAAAAGUGGAAGUGUUCAUUUUGAUGCUACUGAAAAAGCAAGUUUGUCUGCUGUGAGAAUCUUGUAAUAAAUUUAGGAACAUUAUAAAAACUUGGGAUGCCAUUAAAUUAUAGAGCAUUAAUUGAAUCAGUCUUCAGUCGUUGUAGUAAGCAGCUGCACCUACGGUCCCAGAAAAAGCAUGAAAGUGUUCUUUUCCCCGUUGAUAAUGGAACAAGUGUGCCGUUGCUAAUGGAAGGAUUUGUGAUGAUUAAUGUACUGGUAAGAAACAGUAUCAAUUAAAAACAGUAAAUGAGGUCCCAGAAACUUCAAUUUUUUAGACUUUCAAUGGAUCUUUUUAAACACUUGUUUCACAGAACAGCAGAAUUAACGUGGUACUGACAUUUCCAUCAUUGUGAAAAUGUUCCCAAUUUAUUUGCUUUUAAAAGUAGUAAAUAAUUUUUAUUGCCCGUUUCUGUAGAUUGUACUACAAAAGAGAAGGAAUUGCUUUUGAUGUCUUCACCUUACAACAUUAUGGAGUAGGAGUUAAGUGGAAAUUAAUUUGGAGAUGACUGAAACAACAGAAUGCCUGCAGUGGUAUUCCUCUUGGACUUGGCUUGCUCAUUGCACUUAUGGACUUUAGAACGCUACUUUCUGCAGUUACUUAAUUAAGAUUGUCUAAGAAAUAAGUUCAGUUUGGUCCUACUGAAACAACCAAUGU
rnacentral:lncRNA from 1 species